rnacentral:rRNA from 1 species
CCUACGGGCGGCAGCAGUGAGGAAUAUUGGUCAAUGGGCGAGAGCCUGAACCAGCCAAGUCGCGUGAAGGAUGACGGCCCUACGGGUUGUAAACUUCUUUUGUCAGGGAGCAAUUGGGUCCACGCGUGGGCUUAGCGAGAGUACCUGAAGAAAAAGCAUCGGCUAACUCCGUGCCAGCAGCCGCGGUAAUACGGAGGAUGCGAGCGUUAUCCGGAUUUAUUGGGUUUAAAGGGUGCGUAGGCGGAAUAUCAAGUCAGCGGUAAAAAUUCGGGGCUCAACCCGGUCGUGCCGUUGAAACUGAUGUUCUGGAGUGGGCGAGAAGUAUGCGGAAUGCGUGGUGUAGCGGUGAAAUGCAUAGAUAUCACGCAGAACUCCGAUUGCGAAGGCAGCAUACCGGCGCCCAACUGACGCUGAAGCACGAAAGCGUGGGUAUCGAACAGGAUUAGAUACCCCGGUAGUC